GGUUUGUUUGUUUGGUUGUUUUUUUUUAAGCAGGGCAGGCUAGACAGAGACAAUGGGAGCUCAAAGAUGAACACGCAGGAAGACAGGAGAGCAGAGCUCCAUAGUAACUUCCUUCCGAAGAGUAAACAGUACAAAAAGAAGAAAACCACAGUGCAACUUUGUAGCUUGGGGGUGAAAUCAACCAGCACUACCUUAGCGGGACAAUCAAGAUCAGCAACCGGCAUAGGUGUGUCACAUCGACAGAGGGGGCUACAUAUGGUGUCAAGGUAAGCAUCCCCUCCCCCAAAGGAGAGAACUCUGGUCUAAACUUUGAGGAAAGCAACAAGCCAGCCUCCGCCAUUUGACAGGUACCUAUGGAAUAAAGGAGAACCUCAAAAGAUGUGCCUCACCUGAAAUCUGAGAAAGAUGAGGAUAUUAGGUAACAGCCAAGAGAAUCUGAAUAAAGCGUUGGUUAAUAUUAACGCCUUAAAACUG
rnacentral:lncRNA from 1 species